rfam:Streptomyces collinus Tu 365, complete genome.
CGUCGGCGACCUGGGGGCAGAUGAAGUGGACGUGCGCGUCGAUGGCACCGGCGGUGAGGAUGCGUCCGUUGCCCGCGAUGAUCUCGGUCUCGGGGCCGAUGACCAGGUCGGGGUGGACGCCGUCCAUGGUGUCGGGGUUGCCGGCCUUGCCGAUGCCGGUGAUCCGGCCGUCGCGGAUGCCCACGUCGGCCUUGACGACGCCCCAGUGGUCGACGACGACCACUCCGGUGACGACGGUGUCGGGGGUGCCCUCGGCGCGGGUGGCGCGGGACUGGCCCAUGGACUCGCGGACG